UACAGAGGUCCCAAGCGUUGUUCGGAUUCAUUGGGCGUAAAGGGUGCGUAGGUGGCGCUGUAAGUCGGAUGUGAAAUUUCGGAGCUUAACUCCGAGACUGCAUUCGAUACUGCGGUGCUUGAGGACUGGAGAGGAGACUGGAAUUCAUGGUGUAGCAGUGAAAUGCGUAGAGAUCAUGAGGAAGACCAGUGGCGAAGGCGGGUCUCUGGACAGUUCCUGACACUGAGGCAUGAAGGCCAGGGGAGCAAACGGG
rnacentral:rRNA from 1 species